rnacentral:lncRNA from 10 species
GAUAUAGAAGACUUAGAUCACUAUAAGAUGAAAGAAGAGCCUAUGAGUGGGAAACAGGUGAGGGAUGAAGGAACUGAAAAAGAAAAUUGGGCAAUAUUAGAGAAAAUUAGGAAGACUGAAAGGUUCAACUGAUUAUCUUCCCUCAGCUACCUGAGCACCUGGGACUACAGGCACAUGCAACUACACCUGAUCGACUUUUGUAAUUUUUUAGUAGAGAUGUGGUUUCAUCCUGAUGGCCAGGUUGAUUUCAAACUCUUGGCCUCAAGUGAUCCACCUGCCUCAGCCUCCCAAAGUGCUGAGAUUACAGGUGUGAGCCACCAUGCCUGGCUACUGUGAUCUUUUAGAGCAGGUUGAAAUACCUCAAAUCCUUACAUUAGUUGAUUCAGUCGACCCUGGUAAACAGCGGCCUUUCUGCUUCAACCUGCAGUGUCUGGGUCAGUGCAAGCAUCAGAUAGACUUAUGAAAGGGCUCAGGGACAUAUACAGAUCACAGAGUUAUAAGACAGUUAAAAGAAUAUUGGAAGAGGAAGAGCCCUGGCGUUCCAGCAGGAGCUAACAGGAAAAAGAAAAUCAAUGGCAGUAGCCCUGACACAGCCCCUUCUGGUGGUUACCACCCACCUGCGGAUUCAGCAACAGGUGUCUACGGGGAGGGCCCUAUGUCAUCUUCCACCCUGAAAGAUCUAGAGGUAAGAGGCCCUGGGCCGAGGUUCAGUGACCCUGCAACCUCCUCCCACAGCAGGGGCUGGUUGCCCCUCUGCCAGCUGAGACAGCCCACACACACCCCUCCCCAGCCCUAAUGAGUGUUCUCUCUACCCCUCCCCACAAUCCUCCUCCAACUCCUCCUCUCUGCGUGCACCUCAGAGCCAGUACCAAGAACUAGCAGGAG